AGUGGAUGGGGAGCAACCUAGUUGUGCGUGUGUAAAGGUAGUGCCAAGAAAAGCGAUGAUCAUGUUGAAAAUCAAUUCCCGGUACCCGAAACCGACACAGGUGGGCAAGUAGAGAAUACUAAGGGGCGCGAGGUAACUCUCUCCAAGGAACUCGGCAAAAUGACCCCGUAACUUAGGGAGAAGGGGUGCCACCGAGAGGUGGUCGCAGUGAAGAGGCCCAGGCGACUGUUUAGCAAAAACAUAGGUCUCUGCAAACUCGAAAGAGGAGGUAUAGGGGCUGACGCCUGCCCAGUGCCGGAAGGUUAAAGAAGUUGGUCAGUCUUAGGAUGAAGCUAGCGACUGAAGCCCCGGUGAACGGCGGCCGUAACUAUAACGGUCCUAAGGUAGCGAAAUUCCUUGUCGGGUAAGUUCCGACCCGCACGAAAGGCGUAACGAUCUGGGCGCUGUCUCGGAGAGAGGCUCGGCGAAAUAGGAUUGUCUGUGAAGAUACGGACUACCUGCAUUUGGACAGAAAGACCCUAUGAAGCUUUACUAUAGCUUGGAAUUGUGUUCGGGCUUCCUGUGCGCAGGAUAGGUGGGAGGCGUAGAAGGUAUUCUUGUGGGGAUACUGGAGCCAACGGUGAGAUACCACUCUCAGGAGGCUAGAAUUCUAACUUAAUUAAGGACAGUUUCAGGUGGGUAGUUUGACUGGGGCGGUCGCCUCCAAAAAGGUAACGGAGGCGUACAAAGGUUCCCUCAGACUGGUUGGAAAUCAGUCGAAGAGUGCAAAGGCAGAAGGAGCUUGACUGCGAGAAGUACAGUUCGAGCAGGGUGGAAACACGGUCUUAGUGAUCCGACGGUGCUGUGUGGAAGGGCCGUCGCUCAACGGAUAAAAGUUACUCUAGGAUAACAGGCUGAUCUCCCCCAAGAGUUCACAUCGACGGGGAGGUUUGGCACCUCGAUGUCGGCUCAUCGCAACCUGGGGCGGAAGUACGUCCCAAGGGUUGGGCUGUUCGCCCAUUAAAGCGGUACGUGAGCUGGGUUCAGAACGUCGUGAGACAGUUCGGUCCAUAUCCGAUGUAGGCGUGAGAAUAUUGAGAGGAGCCUUCCUUAGUACGAGAGGACCGGGAAGGACGCACCGCUGGUGUACCUGUUAUGAUGCCAAUUGUAAACGCAGGGUAGCCAAGUGCGGAGAGGAUAACCGCUGAAAGCAUCUAAGUGGGAAGCCCACCUCAAGAUGAGUAUUCUGGUGUAAGGUCACGGGAAGACGACCCGUAAAUAGGCACGAGGUGGAAGUGCAGAGAUGUAUGAAGCCGAAGUGUACUAAUAGACCGUCGGCUUGACC
rnacentral:rRNA from 1 species